UCUUCCUUUCUAAGUCUGGCCUUCUCUGCACAGCCACGCAAUAACCACAACCCCUUCUCUCCGACUAUAUAACCUCCCCCUCCACCUGAACCCAUUCCCAUCUCUCUCUCCCUCUCUCUAGGAAUCUGUGGAGAUCAUCGUCACAGUUGAUAUUUUCUUCUCUUCAACGACGAUGGAGGCUGCUCUUAAGCUCAGGCUCUUCGCCCUGGCCAUGGUGGUCGUCGUCGUGGCCUCUUCCUUGGUCGAGAAAGCCGCCGCUGCUGACGCACCCGCCCCCACCCCUACCUCCGGCGCCACUACCACCGCCCUCGCCGCACCUGCUGCCGCCCUUGCCUCGUUCUCCGCCCUCCUCUUCGGAUGCUUCCUCUACUAAGCCACAACGUCAUUGUUUCGUCACCUUGUUUCCUUUCCUUUGUUGUGAUUUCUUCAUGUAGUCAUUCUCUUCUGUCAUGGUGUCUAUGAAGAGAGAGGAAGAGAGAGGAAUAUGCAUGCAUCGACGUAUGCAUACGGCGGUGGUGGUGGUGGUGGUAGUGGAUAUGUAAUCUUCUCUUGGUGUUCAUUCAUUUAUGUUAAUGUGAUUCUUUCCCUCUUCUUUUGUCAGAAGUAAAUGAUCUAUGCUACCAUCUAAGCUUCUAAGCUUCUCAAAAAGGUUAUGGCUGCAGAACAAUUGCCGAUCAAACGCCAUUAAUUGCGUUAUGCUUUGUGCUUUGCCAAGAAGAGAGCAAUCAUCAGUUGAAGAAACUGGUGAUCCCUUUGCUCAUCAUGGCUUGUAGUUGAUUCAUUCAAUGCAUGAAGACAACAAUGAGUUGGCAAUGCUGGCUCAACAUGGCCUUGCUGUUCGCAUGGCUUCUCAGGUUCCACAGGGUCCCAUGCCAUCAAUUAUAGCAUGCUUGUUGCUCCUCCUCUAUAAUGAGUGCCCUCAAUCAAUGUUCGAGGUCGAUAGGAAUUAGAACCUUUACCUUUUGUUGGUUUCAUGUGGAACUACAUAAAGAGUUGUAGUGAUGGGGGAAAUAUCACUUGUCAACCAUAUAUACCAUUCAUUUAUUUGCUAAAUGUUCAUUUCUAAAAGCUUAAAAACUUAGUUUAUAAGUUCGUCGGGUCUCUCUAUACUUGAAGAUAAUUAUUGGUGCUCACAUCGCUCAGUACAACCAUCGCUCAUUCUAAUUGGUAGUUGAGACUUUAACUUAUAUAGGCACCCUUUUAAAAUGUAAUAUGGUGUAAAAAAAAUUAGGUUUUGAUAAAUAUUAAAAAUUAAGUUUUCAGUAAUCUUAAGUAUAUACUUAAGCUAUUAAGGAAAGGAUCCAAUUUAUAUUAAUUUUUUUACACCCUCAGUUGUCUACAAGCUGGAUUUUUUUAAUAAAAAAUAGAAAAAAAUAAUUAUGUUAAAUAAUAUACAUGGCAUUGAUAUUAUUUAUGCAAUAAUACACUAAUAAAUUCGGAUGUCUCAACAGAGACCACAAGUUGGAUUAGACUUGGCAAAUAAAAUUGAAUAAAAAUAAAUGAUGUGUAAAAUAAAAAUAAACGUAUACAUAUAUUGAUGUCAUGAUCUGCCUAUGGUAUCAUGAUAAAUAUUUUAAUUUAGUCACCAUUAAUCCUUAAAUUAUUAGGAAAUGACUCAUGAAUAUAAUCAAAUGAGUAGGUAUUUCAAGUAUAUGCCUUUAGAAUUUAAAAUGAUGAUGUAUACCACCAAGUAUUUAUUUUAAAGAGAUAUGCAUGUAUUUGAAAAGGAGUGAAAUAUUAAUAUGAUUUUGAAACUUCUGGAUUUCAGAUAUGAAAGAACACAACAUAUAUUGUUCAUAGAGUAGGGUUCAUUGCAUGUACAACCAAAAACUUGAUCUAAGUUUUAGUAAAAAUUGAUAUUUCAUGUAGGUGGGUAUGUAUAAAACCUCUCUCUCUCUCUCUCUCUCUCUCUCUCUCUCUCUCUCUCUCUCAUACACACAUACAUUCUAUAGACAUGAUGGAAUACAAGGAUCACUGAGCAUGAAUCUUUGAUGCAGAUCGAAUGCAUAUAAACAAGGGAUUCAGUGUCACUGGCAAGUUGACAAGGACAUGGAAGCUACUCUUCUAGCUAUAUGAAAAUGACAAUACUGCAAUUAUCAGCCUUCCUCUCUCAUGGUCAGUAUCAAUACACAUCUCUCAUAACUGGCUCAGCAAAGAUAUCUUUCCCCCUUAUUUUUCUUGAUUCUUUUUCUUGGUUGUUUGCAUGGCAUUUAGUCUUCCAUGCCUGACCAGAGUGGAUCUGUGGUCGACCUUUUCCUGACAAUUUGGACCUUCAAAUCACCUCCUUGUCAACAUCACUACCUCCGAUUUGCUCAAACAAUUACAGAAUAGGGUAAUAAAUUAGUGAUGAUUGAGUUGUUCUCUGUAUCAUCAAACAUUUCUCUGUUUCAGUUCCUUUGUGCAGAAUAAGCGAAGCAGAGAGUGUGUGUUGACAGUGUGAGAGAGGGAAACAUGAAACCAAGCUUUAGGCAACCACAGAAAGAAGCUGAAACGAGCACUGUAUUCGGCUGUAAUUUGAAGAGCAAGUAGAAUUAUUGCCAUGCAAGGCAGCUUUACAACGUGAUCUUAUGGCAUGCAUUUCCACAAACACAUGUAAUCUAUAGCAUUUAUUGUCGAGAAGAGUGAUCGAUCAAGCACUUGCAAUGUAUCCUCCAAAUGAGAUGUGUGCCCUCGUCAUGGGAGCUCCCCUCGCGGCUGACAGUGCCUGGUUUAGCCUUGCUGCCUGUUGCACAACCUCCUUCAUUCUCUGCAAUCACAUCACACAAGAGGAACUUAGGAUGGGAUUAGAUUAUCUUAAUUGAUCGAUGAGCAGUACCUUAUCGUGGGUGUAGAUCUUGAACUGGAUCUUAGGUUUCUGAUGCUGUCGGCAGCCAAGGAUGAAGAUGCAGAUAGUAGCAGCAGCAGCUGCUGCUGCUGAUGCUCCCAUGGCGCAGAAGGCUCCAAUACCUGUCGAUCUCCAAUUCCCCGGAGGAGGAAACCCGAAGCCUUUGAUCUCGGAUCCUGCAUGAUCUUUCUCUUCUCCCUCUUCCCUGACUUGCGAUUCCACGUCUGGUGUGACGACGCCGAUGUCUUUGAAUCCUUUGGCUUCAGCAUCAUCAUCUGAGUUAUUCUCCAUGGUUGGCUCUGAGUUCUGCUGCUGCUCCAAGAAAGAUUGUGAUGGGCAGAUGAAGUAAUUGGCAUCAAGUGUGAGCUCCUUGAGCACCAAAUCAUUUUGACUGCCAUGGCUGAAGUCCAGCAAGCUCUUGUCAUCAGGGAGGAACUCCCAGUCAUCGAGAUCCCUCUCCAGGCAAGAUUUCUCCAUGUGAUCAGAAUUAGGGACGACUGUGUGUGUGUGUAUGAGAGAGAGAGAGAAGAGAGAAGAGAGAGAGAGAGAGGACUUAUCCUUCCACCUGCCAAGACUUUUCCUAUAAAUCUAAUUCCCAACUUUUGUUUGACGACUUGCAGAGGAGGAAUGAGUUCUAAUUCCUCGAACAGUUCUUGUGCAUGAUUGGGCUGUCUGCCAGUCUCUGUCUUGGUCUCUCUCGCUCUCUCUGCUUCACACAUUAAUUCCAAUAUGCACAGUUAAGGUUUGGGUUCGUUCGAGCGUCACGAGUUGGUUGCGGCAAGGCGAUUCGAAAUGGGUGCGCCACAUGAACCGGGCGACUCGGGCGUGCGGCUCAAUUAAAUCAGGGAUUGGGUUCCGUUGAGCUCGAAGUAGUUGAUUGGGCUGAACCAUUUCAGCCAACUAAAUCCUUCCCCAUGACGCGAACCGGAAAGGACGAACCAUUGCUGCCCCUCACCCGCACGAACUGUCGCUGCCCGAGCCGCUCUCCUCCCUGUCGAGCAGCUGCUCACCCCUCCGGCGGUACCUCUCUCUCUCUCUCUCCCUACUUCCCUUCACUCUUCUCCCUUUUCCACCAGCAGCCGCCGCCCUCUCUGCCUCAGGCAGCCCUUUGGCGCCUCCGUUCUCUCUUCCCCAGCCGCCGCCAUUGUUGAUGCACCGAUGCCUUUUUUUGCUGAUGUGAUGCCAUUGGGUGCAAAUGUCACGUUUAUAUGAAAAUUAGGAAGAUUUCGACACACUUCAAAAUAAAACAUGAUGAAAAUUCUAAGUUUUUUUAAUCCAAAUAUUUUAGUAGCCUUAUAAUAUUUGUGACAAUUUACUGUGAGGGAACGAAAAUAAAAAAAAAGAUAAUAUGUUAUUUUAUUGUAAUAGUUGGAAAUUCGGCUUAGCUCAGAUUAGAUUUCAAUGGAAAACCUAUUUUCUUAAAAGGAUUUAUAUUUUUAUGUCAAAGAAAGAAACCCUCUUUGGGGAAUAUAGGAAUGUAAGCCCUAAUUUAUAUAUUAUAUUUGCCAAAUAUGAAGCUUUUCCCAUGAAAUUUUAAUCUUGCGUCGGAAAUGAUAUUGUAUUUGUCAAUGCAUGAUGGAGUGGGGACAGAACUGGAAUUUACGUAUAGGCUCCACUCUGCCUCGAUGGGCCGGGCUUGAAAUAAAAGCCCAUUAAGACAAUGCUACGAUUGGCCCAUUACAUGCUCCUCUAGGGUUUCGCUUCCCUCCCCUGCGGUCGGUUUCGCUUCUGGAUAUCUUAGCACGGGCGACAGCGCAGAGAGGGGUGUUUGGUUCCUUUUCCUCGAGCUCGUCUCGGUAGGUUGUCAUCCUUCCCGAUCACAUUACUCUUCUUGGCUUCUCUUUGAUUGGUUGCUGCGAUGUUUUUGAGUUUUGGCGAUAUGCAAUUGUUCUUUCUUUCGCGUUUCUUGGUCUUUCAUCGUCUUCAUCAGAUCAAUUUGUACAGCAGAUAAUACUUGCGUUCCCGUCAUUCUUUAAAGGUUUAGUUGUUUGCUUGCAACUUAGAAGUAGGUCAUCUAAUGCCAUGCAGUACUAAUGUGGAAGUUGCCUUUGUGCGUGCGUGAGAGAGAGAGAGAGCAGUCCGCGUUGUAGGACACGAAGGCCACAAGAACAUGUCAAUAUAAAACCCAUUUGUCUGCUAAAGUCCACAGCCUAAAAGAGGGGAAUCAGCCACCAUAGCAGUUGGAAAAAUGUACUGCUUUCAUUAGAUGGGGGUUGAACCUUAGACCUCCAGUGAUGGAUGAGAGAUGCUAUACCAUUCAAGGAUAAGAGAUACUGGAGAGGUUACUACUGUUGUUAGGAUUGUCAUUUAUUUUUAAUACAUAAUGAAAAGAAAAUUUUGUGAAACCGAAUGGCUCAAGUUUGAGCCCAACAAUCUAUUCUAUGUUUUCUUCACAAUAAUGCAUUUGUUUUGCUCGUAGUGGCAGCCAUAGUAAAGAUUGAAGAAUCAAGUUUGAGAUCAACAAUGCAUUUCCUGCAAGAUAACGGAAUUGUAUACCCAUCAAAAUUUUGUUGUAGAAUCUUUUACAAGUUCCUCCAAGGAAAAUUCUAACUUGGCUUUGUUCUAAAAUGCAUGUUUUUUUGUAUAACUCAGUUUAAUUGUGUCUAUGAUGGUUCACUUAACUUAAGAUUUUCUUGCUACAUAUAUGGUUCCUUAUGUUAUUUGCAUGAUGCAAAAAAAUUGUAAGAAAUAUUGAAAAAGAAUUGUUGAUGCGCUGAUGCAUUUUUUUGCUGAUGCGAUGUUAUUGGGUGCAAAUGUGGUUACCUGUGUCAUUUUUUGUUCAAUAUGUCAUGUUUAUAGAUCAGUCUUGUGAUAUGCAGGAAUAAAUUGACUCCUGAGUUGCAUACAAGAUGAGAUUAGAAAAGUGUUGGUUCUGUUCCUCAACCAUUUAUCCAGGCCAUGGAAUUCAGUUUGUUCGAAAUGAUGCAAAGGUAAGGCCAUGUUUUCCGAAUUAAUUCAUCUGGAAGACUGGUUUCCAGGCUUCUUCAAAAGAAAGGUGUUAUAAUAUAAAAUUGGGAGACUUGUACCAUUUGAAAAUAUGAUUGUUACUCAUAGUACUACAAACUUGGUUGUUUGUGUGACUCUUGUGCUUUAAGCUCCUUCACUAUUAUCUGACAGACUUGUACUAAUCCUUUAUAUGUCAUAAAUCUUAACCCUAUUAUGAUAUUAUUUUAAUUGCAUGUUAUUUCAGUUUGCUCUCUUCGUUCAUCUAUAUCUAAAUUGGUUAUAUCCAUCUUUCAUUAUGCAGAUGUUGUUUUGAUCUACAAAUCAUGCUUUCAUGAUGAAAUCAAAAUGGCCCUAAAUGGUCCUAGUUCAUUACUUGGAUUAUGAUUUCAUAUGAUUGUAACAGAUAAGUCUUUAUUGUUGGUGAGAGAAUGCCAUAGAUUUCAAGAUUGAACUUGAUUAUUUUCUUUUAUGUACACACACACACACACACACACACACGUGUUCUCAUUCUUUUGUUCAUUAAAUUUUGAUCUCUUGUUUCCUUUUGUUUUUUAUAUUUUCUGAAUUGCUUGAGCUUUAGAAAGGACAAGGAGAAAGGAACCCAAUGAUCCACAAUUUGAUUCAUGAUCUGAUAUAAUCUUUGUUAGGUGUAAUGCAUUCAUAUUUUUCUGUUCAUCAAGUGUUUGGCUCUUAUUUACUAUUAUUUUCAUGUUUUCUCAAUUGUUUGAGCUUUAGAAAGCACAAGAAGAAAAGAAUCUAUCUCUCAUGAACCCUCUUAGUGAUUCUUAUCUGAAGUAAAGUAGUCUUUUUCUUAGUUUUUAUGAUUUUUUUAGAAUUCUAAAUUAUUUUCAUGGAUUCCACUGAUCUGAUUCAUUAAUCAGACUGAUACUGAUCGUUCUGCCAUCGUAAGAUCUCAAUCCCUAUUUUGAGCGAUGGGCUUCUUACAGAAUUCUAGCAUGCAUUAUGGUCUUUUUAGCUUACCAGCAGUCAACAAGAUGCCAUGGAAACAGGUGUAGUCCAGUGCUUAUUGGAUGAACAUGCCUCAUUCAGUUUUAUGAAAAUAGAUGCUAUACAAAGAAUUUACUUUAAAACCCAGUCAAAUGAAGGCAUUAUGUUCAGUUUCAUCAAAAUAGAUGCUGUACCAUAUGUCAAGAUGAGAUUGGGGUUGAUUUUGAUCAGAUCUGUGUUAAAGAAAAACUGAUCUUGAUGUCCCAACAGAUUGACAUAAGUCAAUCCGUAAGUGCACGAGUUCCAAUAUGAAAACCUGAUUCAUUUGGUUUGAUUUGGUUAGUCUUUCAUGUUUUCCAAUGUUUGGACUCAUGACAGUAGUACAGUGGUGAAAAAAAACCCCAUUGGAGAAGAAUGAAAUAGAACAUGAAACUGUGGGCUCCUGUGUAGUGGGAGGAGAUUUUAUGAUGAGAUAAUAUCUAAACAUUCUAUGUUUUAGAUGAUCAGAUUGCGUCAUAAGUAUAACGGAUGGUUGUUGACUGGCAUCUGAUCCAAUUAUGAAUUAGACAAUCAGAAUAGUUUAAUUGGAUUGUACUGAUAAACAAUCAGAUUAAGAUUUGUUCCAAUAAACAGUUCAAAUUUGUUGAGAUAGCAUCAUAUCUGAUCCAUUGAAAGACAUCUUUGGGGAACUAUAUGAAGUAAAAGCUACAUAGGAACUUAGAGCCAACAUUCUUCAUUUUGUAUGCCAAGUUGUGCAGAAUAGCUUAAGCCUAUGGCUCCGCUGCUUCUGAUGAUUUAUAUUAUCAAGGUUCAGUUAUGUAUACAUACAGUUUGUAUGUCAGCCAUGGUUUGUGAAGUCUAAUGCGCAUGAAAACAUUAUUAGCCUAUAAUGUUGUUUGCUAGUUCCUAUUGUCAUCGAUGAAAGUUCUUUUGCAGAUAUUCCGAUUCUGCCGAUCAAAAUGCCAUAAGAAUUUCAAAAUGAAGAGAAAUCCUCGCAAGGUGAAAUGGACAAAGGCGUAUAGGCGAUUACAUGGGAAGGAUAUGACUCAGGUUAGAAAUGCUAGUGUGAUACUUUUUUCUGUGUUUCUUUGUUUAAGUUGCUGAAAUUGCAUGACACGAUGACUAUCUAAUGACUGCUAUCCCUGUUAAGGACUCGACAUUUGAGUUUGAAAGGAAGCGUAACAGGCCUGAAAGAUAUGAUAGGAAUGUCACAGAGAUGACGCUGAAGGCUAUAAAGAAGAUUGACAAGAUCAGAGUGACCAGGGAGGCUCAACACCACAAAAUGAGGUUGGUUUCCGUUACGAGUGGUAUCCCAUUUUCUUCAAUUUGCAAUUUAUAUUCUGAUAUGCCAUACUCAUAUAUCUCACAGGAUGAAGGGUAAUAAAGCAAUCGAGCAAGAGGCGGCAAUUAAGGAGUUGGAGAACAGUAUUAAUUUGGUCAAAGCACCUGCUGCCCUGCAGCAGGGAUCAGAAAUUACUCUUCCAAAGAUCAAAGUCAAGGUUUCUCAAUCACAAGAUGUGGGAGAGCGAAUGGAAGAAUAAUGGUAAUCUGGACAUUCAUCCAUCCUCCAAUUUAAAAGUGCCAUAUUAAGUUUUUGUUUUCUUUUGUGUGUUUGCACAGUUUAUGAGUGGGUGGUUCCUUGGAACAUUCUUCUACUGAAAGAUGGAUGGAUGCUUUGCCAUGGAUGUAGCUGAAAUAGUAGUUGGGAGAACAACAUUUUGUGCUUAAUUGUCUUGGUUGGUAAUGGAUGGUUUUUUUUUUUUUGUUUUAGUGGACACGUUAUUUGAUCACAUUAACAGAAAGCUUCUGAUGCAGCUCAAAAAGAACAUGGAAUGGUUGCAAUCUUCGCAUUUCGUGAUUGAUUGAUAUUACUAGUGUUGUUGUCAUCGAGCGUUUCCCGCCCCGACGAGGUGAGUCGAGUGCCUCAGAAUUGGUCCGAGAGGGCAAAUUGAAGCAGGUGUGGUUUGGAGGAUUGAUUGAUUGGGCUCACCCCAUGCGUGCGAGCCCUAUCGACACCACCACCUUGUGUCGCGCGAUUCGACAUGUGGUGGCCCUUAGGCACGUUGUUGCAUAUACCUUUUGCAACCGAGAAGAAACCUAACCUAAACUGUGAUCAAUUCAUCUGCAUGGCCCUUAGCCCUUGGGCUCGUGGGGGCCCGUCCGACGUUACCUUCUCCCCUCUCAUGAGGGGCAGAACCCUCCCUCCUCAUCCUCUUUUUUUACUCCAUCCUAUUUUUUUUUUAAUAUAAUAAUAAUAAUAAUAAUAUUUCUAUUUAAUUAUAAUUUUUAUAUAAUUUUAAUAUUUAUGAAUAUUUUGCUUGUACUCAAAGCGACAACUUAGCGCCUCCAGCCUAUCCCUACCCUCUUUCUCCUCCAUCGUUGUCCUCUAUCAAGCCUGCCUCCCAACAGUCUCACCCUCCCCCCUCUCUACUCGGUGCUUCUUCCGUCGACCAAUUUGUGUGUUGAACGGAUCUAUUUGAAAAAGUAUAUAUAUAUAUAUAUANNNNNNNNNNNNNNNNNNNNAUAUAUAUAUGCUCGAGCGAGAGCACCUAACGCCUAUGCCUAUAACGAUCAUAAGCACAUGUAACUGACAGCAUGUAUCGCUGCUUUAUUAUCAUCUGCUAAAAAGGUCUUGCAAUCUUAUUUCUUGAAUUCAUCUGCAUUGCACAUGAAACCUUGUAAGCUCAAUUCUCAAAAGGUGAGUAUCGUGAUCUUGCUCCUGCAUAAUUGGAUCCGUGGGAUGUCAGUGUGUUUCACUUCACCACAGCGUCGUAAUCAAAUUGAUAUCAUUCAAGCUAAGUCGGAUAAUUAACUCAGGUGUCAUAUUCUCUACCACCUACCCCCCACCCAGCACUCCUGGGAAUCUAUCUGAUGAACGAGAGAGAACUGUUAAUCGAACACUGUGUAAGAAGACUUUAGAAGCUUCCUAUGGUAGGAUAGGAGGAAGAAAGAAGCUUUACGGGAAGGGAUAACAAUAAUGUGGACUUCUUUUUGUGUUUUUAUUCGAACCAUAAACAACUUUAGGGACUUAAUAUCUAAUGCCACACUUUUAUUGUUCCUGUGGCAAUCACAAGAACUCGAAACGGCCCAAAGUUGCAGUCACAAACAAUUUAGUGAAGUCUAGUACAGGACAAAUCUUUUGCGGCAUCUAUUGCCAGUUAUCAAUCAGGAGACCCUGUCGUUUGACACAGCUAAGAAUCCACCAGUCGAAAGUUUUGAGUCAGGAACUCGUCUAUCAUUUAACUCAACAAUAAAAGUUUUUGUGGCAUGAAAUGGAAGUAGUGCAGAGUGACUAAAAAUGAUAUCAGUGGUGUGUCAUCUACAGAAGAUUAGUGAUACCAGGGAUAGCAUAUUACCACAAUAAGACUGUCUUUUGACACAAAGCUAAGAAUCUACAAGUAAAAAGUAAGGCCAAUGUUCUUCAUGAAUCAAAUUCCAACAAAGUUUUACCAGUCAGGAAGAACUCAUUAAUGUCUAUAACAUUUGUCCCACAACAACAAAAGUAUUUGUGGCUUGAAAUAGCAGUGUAGUGCAGAGUGGCGAAUACUAGUUGUAUGUCAACUACAGAAGAUCACUGAUGCUAGGAUAGCAUAUUACCAUACCAGUUAUGUACUCAAUGCCCCUUCAGGUUUCGUUUAAUGGAACCUCUGGUUUUGGAAGAGUCCGAGCGUGGCUGAGACCUCAUCCUUCCUGAGUCAUGUGGUCGCUCAGUUGAUGGAAGCACCCAUCCUCUUGUGUGCUUUUGACUGCUGUUGUUACCACUCCCUACACGACCACACAUGGAUAUAGAGUUAAACAUCAUUGGGUUAAUAUGGCAGAGCAAUUAAGCCAUGCAAAAACAAACUAAAAGAUUAUUAGGCUUUUCUGUUAAAAAAGAAACAGUCACAAAGAAAGGAGUCAAUUUCAAAGGGUCAGUAUGACUGAUGCAUUAAUCAAGGUUGACAAAAGCAAAAUCCUAAAAGGAAUAAGUUGUUUGCAACCAAAGAGCCCACAAGUAGCAGUGGCCAACAAAUGCAUAGGCCACAGAAAAUUGUUAUAAAUGAGGUUGUUUGGAUUCUGCAUAUAUAGUUGCUCUUUAACUAAAGAACAGGAAUGGCAACUGGUCUUCAAAGGCAUAGAAGCAAGCAGAAGUUGUGCAAACUGUAAAGGAGGUAAGAAGCAACACGAGGUAAUGAGUGAGAGGAGAGAAAUAUCAAAAUACAAACUUUACCUUAACCCUAAAAAUGUGACAUGUAGUAUUUUGAAUUGUAAGUCUGUAUGAGGGUUUAGUUUCAUAUGCACAUGUUGCAAGUGACUUAGAGACAAGCAAAUGCUUGCAAAUGUAUUAACUACCAGAAGAAAAACUUACAGGCAGUUCACUUGCAGGGAACCAAACACCCCGUAGUGAAUGCUUAAAGUGAGAGACUUAAAAAAGGCACACAUAAGUGAAGCAAGGUGUACUUAUUUUCAAGCAUCAAAGAAAAAGGAAGAGCAAUUCUAGAGUCCACGUAUUCCAAAAUCCAGUCCAUGGUCAAGCAAGAAACAACUGGUGGAUAUUGAUGGCCAGGCAAGCGGUAGCAAUGGCUGUCACCAUGCUACUGCUUUUGCCAAGCAAGAUGAGCAGCUUUUGCCACCAAGCCAAGAAAGGAGCAGCCACUGCUUCAGUUGACCACUGCAGUUGCCAGCAUCCCAAGUGACACUAAUCUAGCAUCCUGAAAGGUGGGAGGAAAAAGAAGAGAAAUAGGAACAAUUAAUAAAAAUUUUGCUCAUCAUUGUAACCCAUCCACAGAAUAUCAACUGGCCACCUUUGGAACCAGCAGAUCAUGGAUUGCCAAUUAUUUUCUCCUGAUACUGAAUUACGACCUUGUUGUUGUUGUUGUUAUUGUACACAGGAUACUGUCAAUUUUGAAACAGGAAUUGAUGUAUGGGUUCACAGAUGGGUCAACCAGGGGCAUUAAGUGUACAGUGGUUGCUUGAUACUGUUAUGAAUGUACAGUUGCAACGGCUUUGCCUAGAUGCAUUAGAAGAGGCUUUGGCUCACAUUAAACUCACCCAAGUGCAUAGGUGAGCCAAGCAUAUGCCUGAUUUAACACAGGUAUAUCAUGUUAAUCCUGAACCAACUCAACAGACAGCGCCCUUGCUAAAACCUUUGCAGAACAAAGAUUUCAUCGUGAAGCCAUUCAAAUUCUAAGCAUAAGAAAAUCAUUGUAUUAGUCACAGUGAUGAAAAAGAUCAUUUUAUCAAAUAUUUUAUUGACACUUCUUUUUGGUGUUUUGUAUUGACAAUCACCUACCAGUCGACCACCAAAACCAUACUGUCGAAUAAUAGUGCAUGCGGCCACCACCAAUCCAUUAUCAAACAGAAGCUGAGUAGGAUCUUACAACAUACUGCAUAGACUAUUCUAUGCACCACAUCAGAGGCCAUCAUAACCCUUAAAAGCAACCAAAUUUCAACUAAAUUAAGUUCUUCGGUGAAAAUAUACAGGAUAAUAUAUUCUCUUAGGAAAAUUUCCAAGUUCAUCCUGGAAACAAAUUAGAGGAACAUUGGUAUUCUCUUCAUCCAGCUUUUGUGCAUUUGAGUGCAGCAUGCUUUUAUGAUAAUGAAGUAACUCAUACUACAAGAGAAAGUAUAAAAUGUCAUUGAGAACUAAAAUUAAAAGAAAGGAGCAAUGUAAAAACGUGCAUCAUCUGACAUUUCACUCGUUCUUGAAAAUUCUUCACUUGUACAAAAGAUUUUGCUGAUUGACUAACCUAGUUCAUCAUGGAAACAAAGUAGAGAAGCCUUGGGUUUUUUUUUCCAAUAGAUUCUAUGCAAUUGAGUGCAGGAAAGCUACUGUGAUACUGGAGCAACUCAUAUUUGGCCAAUUGACAUUGACUAGAGCAAGAACAUUACAAUUGAAAAGUAUGGACAAAUGUCAUUGAACACAUUACAUACUAGUUUUCGAAGAUCUUCACUAGUCCGUAGGUUUUAUCUUAUGUCUAAUCUCUUAAUUUACUACCUAUCUAGAGCAGAACCAAUAUUCAUCAAAAUCCAAUGGGAUUUCAAAUUUUAUACUGCUCCACUAGCAUUCCUUCCUAUUUGGAACUCCCAAUUAACGUGACCACAUGCACAUAGACAUGGAAGUAUGGUGCUGAUAUUAUGUGAACAAGACUUAAGAGAAAAAGUUUAACGUUACAGUAAAACCGAUCAUAAGAAAGGAACUUCUCUACCCUCAGAAUUAGACAAUCUACAACAACCCCAAUGCACCAUGGGCAUUGCUAAACUACCAUGAAGAUUAAAAUUUUCUAUGUAACAUGCCCUAGCUAAUUUAACAAUCUCAUCAAAAAUUGAAAAUACUAUUUUAACAAUGUUACUUUCGUAUAGGGCAUGCCAUUCUAUUAGGGAGAGGUAUACAGCUACACAAAGAUGCAUGACAAAAAACCUUUUUACAAAUUAUAUUUUUAGAAAGUACGAAGAUCAACCUAAACUAGUAUGUCUUGAUGCAACAUAGUGACUUUUCAUUUGAACUUCAUUCAACUAGCCCCCUAGAAUUUGGUGUCUCUUGUUAAACCUCUGCAUUUCAUUUUUUUUUCCUUUUGUUCUUCCUCUUCCAGAACUACUAUCAACUCCUCUUCAUCACUUUAUAUGGUGUCUUCCUUGCACUUCUCCUCGACAUAGGCUAAUACUGCUAUUGUUGUCUUCAUCUAUUUCUAUUAUAAUUUUGACUAUUAUUGUGUUAUCCAUGAUGUCAAUAAAAAGUUAACUAUAUAUCCAACACAUUUAGAAUGUUCUAUCGAAACAUAAAAGAAACCCAUAUAACUAGAAACCCAAAGAGCUAAGGGAUGAUAGGGCAAUAUAGCAUAUGAGGCUCUUACCGAUCUGGGCCCAAGAGGAUCACCCUUGCAAGCAAAGAUGUUGUUUCUAUAACUCUAAAUAUUGGGCACCAAGUCCUCGAAAGGUGCAAUUUUACAAUAGUGCUAAGGCUCAUUAACGCAUGGAGACAAACGGCUAUUGCCCAAUAAUAUCAGAGUAUGGUAAAUCCAAUUGAUGCAAAUGACAAGUGCAUGGCAUGACAAACCAAAAUCUCAAGGACUUGAUCAUCCAGAGGAAUGGUUGGAGAUAUUGGACAUCAGAAUACUCCAGAACUAUAUUUUACUCAAGGGAGCCACUAUGUGUUUAGAGGUUAUGAUCAGGCACAAAACAUACAUAUAUCAUCAUUGGUGGAGCCCUGCAACAUGAUGUGGAAGCCAUGCGAAGAAAUUGCAACAUGACUUUCCUUCAAGGGAAAGGACCUACUUUGAGAACACAUGCAGCAGUGUGAACUAGCUAAUCAAAAGGGGCAAGGAAAUGACAGUUAGCAGGACUCAACUAGCUAACAAGUGCAUCGGAUAUUUUGUAUUGAACACACAUCAAUACCAAUGCAAAAUUAACAAAAACUAUCCAACAACAAGAACUUAAUGGGAAGUAGUUCUUUAUUAUGAAAUCCAACAUAACACCUAGUACAUAAACCAAGAAGAAGCCACAAAAUUAUAUGUUAAUAUGCUCUCAUAUAUUUAUUUUCUCACUUCAUGCAGGAUAUUAACCAUAGUGCUCCAUGAAUAACAAUAUACAGAAGACCACAACAUAUUGUAACUGGCUACAUAAUCAAAUGCAGAAAAAUCAUUCAAUAUAGUUCAGUCUUAAGUUAGUUAAUCCGAAAAAUAACUACUUACUUAAGUUCCGAUCAUCAAGCAAAUCAAGUCCUGGCUUCCAUCCAGGCAAGUGUUGUUUAGCAUUCCCCUUCCAGUCUUCCUCGAAAACAGGCAGCUCAUCUGAUGGUUUAAAGCAAAUUGCAGUUAAAUGAAAUAAACAAAGAAUAUAAUCAUCCUCUUAGCUGCAGCACAAAAUUGUGCCAGACCUUCAUUCAAAUUAUGUAAUGUCUGUAGUGUGUCUACCCUCCCAUCUGAAUUUAGUUUUCUUGUUAGUGAGUGACCCUACAAAGACGAUGAAAAGGGUGCCUUAAGUAAUAUAGCAUAUAAACUACAUUUAACAAAAAAUGAUUCAUUAUAAUCAAGUAUCUCGAAAGUAUAUUUAAUGUGAAAAAUAAUCUAUGUUCAUAUGUACUUUGUCACGGAUCCCUCGAGAAAUCCUGUGUGUAGCUCUACCGGUAGUAGUAUCGGCCUCCUUGUUCUCCUCCAUAACAAACUGUCAUAGUCAAGAAGGGAGGUAGUACUAAUAUAAAUAAUCAGAAGAUCAUUACAGUCAUGCAAUGUUCCAAACAAAUUUACAAAAACAAAAAAAAUAGUGCAUUAGUUCACUAAGCCUGAUUACUCACUCCAUCACCACCCAUUCUCCUUGUAGUAGAUGAAGUGUAAUAUGCUCCAUUUGGACCACCAUAAGUCACUGUUGAGCUCUGGAAAGUAAUAGAGUGACUAUGUGAUUGCAUCCUAUCAGACUGGUUGAAGUUGUUCACAUAUUGCAUACGCCUUCUCUUAUUUGCUGCAAAAACCAAACCUUCUCAGGAAUCUUGCACCGCUUAGAAAUAUUAUCAUUUUGAACCCUACAACUACUAUGAAAAAGGGAACCAACAGAUAAGUCUAUACACCUUCAACUACUUCAUCAGGAUCCUGAACAUACGGCUCUUUGCUUGUUCUAGAAUGUUUUCUUGGGUUCUCUUUCUGCUCCUUGUCAGUCUCUUCUCCUCCAUUAUCAUCAUCAGACAGUUCUUGAAUGAUCGGACCCUUUGACUUAUUGACAUAAGGAGCCUGCUCCAAGAACCCAACUCUACUGGUCUCUCCAAAAACGCUCCCUCGAUCAGCAAACAUGCUGGGACCAAACAUGCUUGGUCGGAACAUGCUAAGGCCCAUCAAGCUUCCAAAAGGCUGCGUGAAGAAAGGGUCAUCGAAGGGAUCUCUCCCACCAAAAAAGCCAGAAAUCAGACUCCCUGGUCUGCUGAGGCCACCAGAUCCAGCAAAUGGAUCCCCAAAACCAAAGAAGUCACCCAUACCGCCUCUGCCAUUCUGCAUAUUCUCUGAACAUAAAUCUGAACACAUGGGAAAAAACCGAGACUGUUCAAGAAAAUGUAAAUGUUACACUAAACAAAAGGAAAAACGCGAUCGAUGAGAGAAACGAAACAAGAUCUUUUUUGUUUUCCCAACAUAUUGGUUGAAUCGAUUAAAACCAUGACAGAACAAACCAAUUGCAUAAAAAUCGAAAAUGUCAAACCCAAUAAUUCGGCUUUAUCCAUUAUCCAUAUGUGACAUUUCUCCAAAAUCCAUUCUCAAAGCCCAUUUAUUCAGUUAUCAAGCAGGCAGAAUACCAACAAAACCAAGUGAUACAAGAACACGUCAAUAGGGAACCAACAGAAACGAGAAAAACGGAAAAAAAAAAAAAAAAAGUGUUUUCAAAGAUGAUCAAUAGAUCAAAAUACUACAUUUUUCAUACCGACUAAACGAAAACCAAAACACCAGCAACCAAAUCCAAAUAGACCGAACUCCUAACCCACAUCGAAUGGAAAGCCAAAGUACCCUAACAGCAGAUCCGAAUCGAGGGUAGAAGUCUCGAUCAACACUUCCAUGGGAACCCUAGAAAACGUUUGGGUACACGAUCCGAGGAAAACAGAUUAAAAAAAAAAGGAGAAUGAAGAAAAUUACGGACCCCGAGAGAUCGAAUCGGAGCGACGUGGCCACCGGUGGCGGCCAACUCGAUCGGCAAGCCUCGGAGAUCGUAAUCGAGCGCCCGAUCUGUGGGAGACUCGGGAGCGAUCGACGACGAAGACGAGAGGUUUCCGCGUCGUCUUAUAACUGGAGCAGGAAGCAACUUAAUGGAACCGACAGAAUAAGAAAAAAAAAAAAACAUUCAUUAUAUUUAUUAUAGUAUUACAAAGGGCGAUUUUAUUUUUUUUCAAAAAAAUACUUUCUAUUAUUUCUCAAAUAGUAUUCCUAAUUUUUAUAAUAUUUUUAUUUAACUUAUUUAUAUUUUUUUAAUAAUAUUAUAAUAUUUGAUUAAGUUAUUAAAAAUAUUAAAAAUAAUAUAUUAUUAUACAUAUUAUAUCUCUUUAGUUGUGAUUGCUCGUACACCAUUAUAAUAUAAAAUUUUUAGACUUUAAUUGAUUUGAUUGAGAUUAUGGAUCUAUUUAUAUCAUCUAUAUUAUUUUUGUUAAAUACUGUAGUAGAUCAAAUCACUAUAACAAGCUAAAAUACUAUAAUUGAUUAAAAAAAGUAUCAUUAAGUUGGUGAGAAGUAUUUUGGAUAUUAUUUAAAACAAGAGACACCAUUUGAGAAAAUUAAAAACAAGAGAUAUUUUUGGGAAUUUUUUUUCUAGGAAAUUACCCUAUUAUAAAUGACCAAUUUCUUGUAUUUUUAGCAAAUAAUACUCCUCAUUACUAAAAUGGGUAGUGGGAUCCAUCGUUUAUUCAAAAAUACUAUAAUGGAGUAAUGUCCAAUUUUUUUUCUAUUAUCAUCCUUUAACAACAAAUAAACAUAUAUAUAUUAAAGAUUUUCCAAAGUAAAUUCCUAAACUUAGAAUUAGGCAAAAAAAUUAAAAAUUUAAAAUAUAUCAAAACCUUUAUAAUUUUUAUCCAAAUAUACUCAAGUUCUCGUUCAAAUAACUUUAUAAUACCUCCAAUUGAAUAAUGAAGUUGAUAAUUAUAUUAAUUUUUAAUAUUUUUCAAUAAACUUAUUGUCUUCGUUUCAUAAUCAAAGACAUAGUAAAUCAAUUUGAUUUACUACUAAAUUGAUCUAACCAAGUCAAUCUAAUUAGAUUUUCAAUGAAAAAUCUAAAACAUAGAUGUUGUAAGUUUAUCAUUUCCGGAAAAAAAAAAGAAAGAGGUAAGACUGUCUUUAGGCAUAUGAAAAUAGGAUAAAUUAUUCGUAAAAAAAUCUAAAUAGUUGAAGUUCUAAGUAUAUUUUGUACAUACACAAAUUCUAAAUAUUAAUGAUAAAUCAUUAAUGUUUUUUCUUAAUAUACAUAAGCUAAGUGUUCACUUAAUAUCCUAAGCAAAACGAGUGAAACAAGCAAAAAGGGAAAGCAAGAGCCAACUACACAUUCACAAUAAUUUAUUACCAUUAUUUUUUAAAAAAAUAUUAUAUGAAAUAAUGUAUUUGAUGCUCACAAGUGUAUUCAAAGCUGAGAUUUAUCAUUUGUGUAACAAAUACAUUAAUUAACCUAUAUGUCUCAAUAAAGAUAUUACCAUUAACUUGUUGACAUAACAAAUAACAUCAAACUUUCUAUGUUUUAAUUGCAGUAGUCUCACUCUACAUUUCCAUGCAACAACAUUUAAUAUAAGUUCUUGACAUCUAUUAAAUUAAAAAAUAUAAAUAAAAAAUAAAGAUUGACAAGAAAGAUUCGAUAAAGGACAAAAGCUAGUGCUUCCACUACGAUAAAGACGGAUAUUAAAAGAGAAACAGCAAAGAGUACCUUACAGAGAAGGCGAAACAAAAACUAAGAUAAGUUUCAUGUACAUUCAUGAUCAGUCUCUAUUUAUUAAAUUUUUAUGAUAACACAUAGGUAUUAGAUAUCGACAGUACUUAUCAUAUUUGUAAUUCGUUAUAGAUUUUGGUAAUACCUAGGAGAUUGGCAAGAGGCGAAAUGGACCUCAAGAUAAACAACGGAGCAAAAGUUGUUACAACGACUAUUGGUGAGGUCACCCUACAUCUGUCUAGUGGAGCUACUAUUACAUUGGAUUUAUGUUAUUUUUUCCUUCUAUUAUCAAAAAUAUUAUUUUUAUUUUAUGUUUGACAAUUAGUAAAUAUAAAUUAGUUUUUGAGAACAAUGGUUAUUCAGUAAUAUUGGAAGAAAAAAUCAUCAUAAGAGAAACAUUGUAUAAUGGUUUAUUUAUGCUAGACACUGUUCCACAUAUUAUAAAUACAAGUAUGUCUAAGAAGAAAUGAGAUGAAGUGAACAAUGCAUACAUGUAACCUUGUAUGCUAGGUUAUAUCCACGAGGGAAGGAUUCAAAAGUUGCUGAAUGAUGGAUAUUUAGAUCCAUUCGACUAUGAGUCAUAUGCAACUUGUGAAUAUUAUCUUUGAGAGGAUUCGAAGAGUAUUUUUAUUUUCUUUUAUAUAUUCAUAAUAAAAUUUAUAUGUUUGAAAUCUUAAAAUUAAGUUCAAAAUGCUCUUAAUACUACUCAACAAACCCUGGGUUUCGUUUCCUUCCUAUUUAGGAAUUUUAUAAUCGCUUCAUAUAUGAUUCAAUCUUCAAAUUUAUGAUACAAUAAUCAAACGCUCAUUCCACAAAAUAAGUAAUCAAUUCAUAUGUUAAUAACAUGGAGAAACCUACAACCUGUAAGCAUAUAGAGAUUUGUUUAGUCUCUAAGAAUCAAUCCCACACCUCUAACACUAUCUUAGAUAUUGAUAAUAAUAUUUAGUCUCACAUUGAUCGAGAUGUAGGAGAAUCAAGGAUUUGUAAGUCCACCCGAUCACCCUUAAUUUUAGAGGUAUUUUUUGAUACUCAUGAGUUUCGAAAGGACAAAAUCGUAACGACAUUUUUAGUACCAUCCAUUUUUAUGUUUGAACCUGAUUAUAAGUAUUUGACAAAUAUCCUUCAAACUAUUAUAAAAGUUUUUAGUAUGACAUAUAUGUUAUAGCUUUGCAAAUAAAAAAAAAAAAGAGUAUUUUGCUCCAUUAAAAGCUUCCUCAUUUCGGAUCUUCCAUAUGCCUUUAAAUGGGCCGGGUUUAAAUAUUUAGCCCAAGAAGGCUCUGUUAAAUAUGGCCCCCUCGGUCGUUGCCUAUAUAAAGCAACAGACGUUAGGGUUUCCCGUGCUUUCCCCGCGGCCGCCUUCGCUUCCGGAGAUCUCAAUAGAGAGGCGAUCUUAGCAGGUUCGUAAUCGAAUGCUGAGAUGCUUUCUUUUGGUCUUUUAGCAACUUCUAGGGUAAUUAGCGACAAUCAGUAUUACGUGAUUCCUGCUGGUUACGAUGAUCUUGUGCCGCGGAUGAUUUUUGCGUCCUGCGAACGAUUGUUAGGAAAAUAAGAUCUGAAUAUGGUGUCAUUUAUGUUUCUUAAGAUCGUAAUAUUUAGGUUUUGUAAUGCUUGUUGAUUGGGACCAGCGGCUAUAGUGAUGUGUCCUCAAGAUGGUCGAUGAGGAGAAGUAAAACAUUAGUUUUAACUUUCUUUGCUAGCUAAUCCAUCAUCCUCCAUAUAUAUGAGGUGUACAGUUCGAUAAAAAAACCCUAUCUUUUUGUCUUCUUAAAGAUGCAGUUUACUAGUUGUGUAUCAGGUUUGAGGCCAACUAUCUAUUCUAUAUUUUCUUAACUUCAGAAAGGGUUGAUGAAUCGAGGUUGAGACCAACAAUUUAUUUCCUCAAGAUAAAGGAAUUGUGGUGAUCAUCAAAAGAUUUUUGUAGAACCUUUUUAUAUGCUUCUCCAAGUAAUAAAAUAGAACUUGGAUGAGUACCAGAAUGUCCAUGUUUCAUAUAUCUUGGUUUAACUCUAUUCACAAUGGUUCACUUCUUGGUGUAUAAACUGUGAAGUAUGUCAUCCUCCAUAUAUGGUACCUUAUGUUACUUGACACACAAAAGUCUUAAGAAAUUUUAAUGUAGAAUUGUUGAUCUAGUGCUGUUUUUUUUUUGCUAGUAUGAUGCUGUUGGGUGCAAAUUGGAUUAUCUGUGUCCCAUUUAUUUUCGCAAUCAUCCAAUUCAUUCUUGUUUUUAUGUUUUUGAAUUUUCUUCAUCUUAAGUUUUGCAUACCUUCUCUUUGUAUCUUAUAAAAUUUAAAUAUUGGGGCUAAUUUUUGGGACAAUCUUGUUUUUUGAAAUUGAUGUGGUUGAUGAAAAUAUAAUUUGUAGAGAAAAAUGCUGCUUUCCCUCUAAUGCAGAGUUGCUAUUAGCCAUAUGAUAUCACCAUUGAUCUCACAGCCCAUUUAUUUGCUUUCUCAAUGGGACAUUGUGCCAUAAUGAGUUUGCAACACCAGUUCCAGUGGCAUUUUGCUCACUGUGUCUCUUUGCCUUUAAUCUGGUUUUAAUUGUCAAGCUGUUCUUCUGGUUUAUGUUUAUUUUUUUUUAAAAGUUGAUUUAUGCUGAGCACUUGAUCUGAUGUAGUCUAUUUAACUUGUUUGGUCAGCAUGGAUACUCAAGCUAAACUUGCAGUUGUGGUGAAAGUGAUGGGCCGAACUGGAUCUAGAGGUCAGGUAACCCAGGUCAGGGUUAAAUUUUUGGAUGACCAAAACCGGCUGAUCAUGAGGAACGUGAAAGGCCCUGUGAGGGAAGGUGACAUCCUCACCCUUCUUGAGUCUGAAAGGGAGGCUAGGAGAUUACGGUGAUGACUUUCAUGUCAAUGUUGCCUACAUUAGUAGGGUAACUCUAUUAAGCUACAGAUUUGUCCUUCUCUGCCAUGGUCUUUCUGGUUCUAUGGCAUUAGUUUCUAUUACUUAGUCGCUUUAUUAUGAGCUGUAUCGAGCCAAGAAACUGUUUUUUCCUCUAAUGAGUCAUUUAACUCUCAAUGUUUGAACAUUUUUUAUGCUCAUGUCAUCUCUCUCUCUCUCUCUCUCUCUCUCUCUGUUGCUCUGCUUUUCUAUUAAAGAUGUUUUUGACUUACCGCACGUUGUGCAUUGAUGGCAAGUUCUAUGUAGAUGAGUUAAACAUGAACUUCGCAUCAUGAAGCGUUUAUGAUGUCUACCGAUGCUUAUCUGUGGCUUCAGUGGUUGUGUUAAAAAAUUAUGAUUAUAAGAUGAGGAUUUAAAUCCUCAAUUAAAUUGUUGAAUCGCCGGUUCUUAUUGUUUUUAUCAAUUAAUUGAUAUAAAGAAAAAAAAGUUUGAAGUGUUGUUUAGAAUUCAUUUGUGUUUCAUUUUUCUUCAGUUAGUUUGGAAUCGAAUUAAAAUUCAAAUCGUAAUUCUUGAUUGUUGAUUGUUUUUUGUGUUGUAUUGUGAUUGUCGAUUUUUUGUCGGUUUGAAUGGUACUGUGAUGUCGGAAUUAACGUACAUCACAUGGUAGUUAAACAAUAUUAACUAUUUUAAAUCACCAAGGCACGUUAAUGACAUGAAAUAGAUCAUCAUAUCAUUAAUCUCGUCACUACUAAAUAAUAAACAGAGCAUUGAGUAGGACACACGCAUCAAAACCUAUAAUAUUAAUCUAAUUAGAAAACCAAUAUAUUGAUCUCAGAUGCUCUCAUCACAAUCAACCAUUUGUGCUACCAAUUUGACCUCUACACCACAGAUGUCAAAGAUAUUUAUAAAUAUUUUUUGAAAUUUUUAUCCAUAAAUUUCGAAAACUUUAACAGUCAAAAAGGAACUUUAUUUAUUAAAUUGUAAUAUCCUCUCACACGUGUAAGUUCGAUUGGUAUAUAAAAUUAAACUAUAUAUAUGGGACAAACUAAUUAAAAGGAAAAUAUUUUACAUAAAUUAUAUAUAGGUCUAUACAAGAUUUAUUUCAUAAUUCACUGUGAUAUUAUGGUAAUAUUUUUGAAUUGGACACUACAAAUCCCAAUAGCUACUUUGAACAGUUAAAAGUGUAUCAUUAAAUUAGUUACGCAGUUCAAGAUUCAUAUACCCACUUUUAUCUCACACAGUAAUCAGCACAUCUGCGGCGGGACCCGUUAGGGGUCCACUGACGGCUUCUCACGUUCAGGGUCCAAGCUGUUCCCAACCAUAAGAUUCCCGCACCGCGACCUCUUAUCAAAUAGCGGUUCACCUCCACCGUGUGGAUGGCAGAGUAGGCAUUCGUCGGUGAGCUCCGACUCUACCCCAUGGCUCUUCUCUCCUCCUCCUCACAUCGAACCUCUCUGGCUUCUUCCUGCCCUCAAUUCUAUGCUGCCACCUCCCACGCCGACUCCAUCGGCUUCCGACAUCGCUCGCGCCUCCCUACUAGACCGAGACCCCCAAUCUCCUUCCUUCGGGCCUCCUCCCCGACACACUCUCUCUUAGGCGCCAUUCCUCGCAGCCAUGGCCGACCUCGCGGAAGAUCCCCGCGUUUCUUUGUCUCGGUAUGUUCUGCACGUGCAUCUCCCUGAAAAUGCUCGAUUUUGAAUUGCCCAAAUUCGAUUCUUUCACAUGUGACGUACAUCGGUUUGCUAGUGCGGAUAAUUAUCAGGAAAUGCAUAUUUAGUUCUUGAUGUUCUGCUGCGUUCAAAAUCAUCUUUUUCAGUUUUUAUAUGAUUUGAAUGCGUUAAGAAAAUUGGAUUGAUCGGUUUUAAGGGGAUUGAGAUGACCGAGUAUGACCUUCAAUUUCAUUGCUUAAAGAUACAUGGUUUCUGGAACUUAAAUGUCAUUUUCUCACAGGAAGUUCCUUUCUAGGGAAUAUAAGUCUGAGACUCGCUAUUUCACAGGAAUAGAAGAGUAGGCUAAUCUUGUAUUUGUUUUGAUUUUCAUUUCCAAAUGUCGUAGUAUGCUCGUGAAAAGAAUUAAGACCUUGAAUACUCUUGCUUCUCAUGUUUUCGUGUCUUGUUUCAUCAUCAAAGUGUGAAGCAGCAAACAUACUGUUUGGGAACUUUCUGCCAAAACCUAAAUCCUUGCUUUUAAUGAUGCUUACUAGUUUCUUCUUGAUCUUUAUUUAACCAAUUCUCAAAGAAAAAUGUUCAUAUCAUGCAUAAAACUUCUGUUUACUUUCAGUAAGCCUUCUAUUCUUUUUCAAAAUUUGUUGAAUUGUAUAGAUUUCUGUUAUGUUCUAAAUUCUACAAACUAAAACAUUGUUCGAGCCUCUCAUUCAUUUCAAUCUUUUAUCUAAUAAAAGAAUUUGUCACAUGUUUUUGGUUGUUUUCCUAAAUCAUUAGAUAUCAUCACUCAACUACUUUAAGGUUUCAUAUUAUUGCAUAAUUUGCUUGAGUCUGUUGUCCUUGUCUUGAUUUUUCAAUUAUAAAUACAUCAAAAGUAUAAUAUAGACUUAACAUUCAUCUUAGUGAAACAUUUUUUUAAAGAAAAAGUUCCAUCAGCAGAAAUUGCCAAUUCUCAGAUCUCAUGCUUCUAGGCUAUCAUGGUAAUAUUAAGGGUAUGAUCAAGCACCUUGUGAUGUUGUCAUAGUGCUUUAAAGUUCCUUAUCACUUACCACAUCUUAAUGUCAACUAUGAAGAAGGGUAUGGUUCAGAGUUCAUUUUUUUGUUUUGGUUUGCUUGUUUAUACUGGUGCAUUCUCAUGCACAAUUUCAUAUCUAUACCCAAUAUACCCAACAUACCUAUAAGUUGACCUGGCGUAAUUCAGUACAAGCAAUGCAGUCUCAUGCUGUACUAGUUGGCCACCACCACAGGCUGGAAAAUUGAUCGAAGAGAGCAUCAUAAAGAUUUCAAGUUUACUUUUUGUGCUAUCUGUUAAAUACUUAUCCUCUCUCCAUUUAAUAUUUUAUUGCCUUGUGAACCAAGUGUUUGUUUCUUGCAAUCACUUUCAGUGCCUUGCUUGAACCUUCUGAUUUAUAUCUAGAUCUCACAUUUAGAUAUACUUCCGCUGUCUGACCUUGUUAGAGUGUUCAAAUUUCCUAAAGGUUGUCUAAGUGAGUCCAAUUUGAAUAUAGUACAAGAUACUUGGUUUGUCAUCAAGUUAAUUACCUGGUUUUUGAAAUAUGUAUAUUCAGUAGUGUUGUAAUUAACUAUUGUAUUUAAUUAGCUCAGUGAACUACAAGAGUGUGAUCUUUAUUGAGGGAAUGAAUUCUGCAAGAAUUUAAUUAAGGUAAUCUAACAUAGUACUCCCUGUGCCUAUUUCAAGAAAAAGGUUGGGUUGUUGAUUUCUUAACACAAUUGCAAAAUUUGGUGGAAACAUGAGUUGGUUGGGUUCUAAUUUUGGAACGGCUAUUUUCUGAUGAUCCCUGUUUUCAGAAUACAGAAUUUGUUCUGAAAGGCUAAGUCAAUAGUUGCUAGUGGUUGGUUUUGGAAAGUCAUUGUUUGGCACGCAACAUACUGAAAGGACAAAGUUGAAGCUUUGCCAGACCUACAAAAGUCACCAUUACUUGUAAAGAAAUUACAAACUAUGAUAAAAAAAACAGGUGUCCUGAUAAAUUCAUAUUAAAAGACUACUUAUUGGUGAAAACUUAAUAGUUCUGAUAAUUUUGCAUCAGAACAAGUUAUAGAUGUUAACAUGUACGCAACACUAGUUAAAAAUACAAUGAAAUUCAUUUAUCUGCAAUCUUAUUGUUAACAUGUAUGCCCUACUGGUCUGUCGUGAACUAGAAAUACACGUUGUCAAAAUCCAAUCUGCAUAAAUUUGUUCAAAUAAAGAUGCUGAGGACCUAGUGGAAACCAAAAUUGAACUGCAAUCUUUUGACAUUACAAUUUAAGGGCCAAAUCAAAAUUGAAAAUCAAACCAAAUUAGAUUUGGAACUUGUGUUUGAGACCAAGCCAACAAUUUUUUGUGUUGUUACACUUUGAAGGCCAAGUUGAAAUUGAAUCCAAUUAGAGGUUUCAGCCUCUCUGAUGUGAUUUUAGCCAAUACAUAUAUGUGCAAAACAGCAACAAGGUAAUGUAUAGCAUGCGCAAACAAUGUAAUUCGUGAUUAAUUUGUAGGUACAACUAUUGCAGCUUUGUGAACUGACAGAAAUGUCAUGAUUCAUAUACAUAACCUUUUAUUAGUUUAUUUUCAAUAAAUGAGGUUUUAUAACUGAGAUUCACUUCUGUUUAAUAUGGCUUUUUAUGCAUAAUUUCUCUGUUUAGAUAUAAAGAUUCAAUACUUCUUUGGAACUAUAACUAUGAUGCCAAAUUUGCGAGAUGAUGACAUUAUAUAAUCAUUGUGAUAAUGCUCUAAUAUUUGGAAGCAUCUUACAAAUUUUAGCUGCAACACCUUGUGUACAAGACUAACAAUUAUAUAGUGUUCUACAAUGCAUGGUUGUUUGCAAUAUGAAUUGGUUUAACUUGAGGCAAUUGGGAAGAACUGCCCAGUAUACAUCCUUUGAAGUUCUAGACUCUUAGCUUAUUCUUCAUUGCACCUUCCAAUAACCAUGUUUGUGACCUUUUCUCUUGAUAGGAUCGAAAAUAAUUUGACGUCUCUGUGACAUCUAUUAUGAAUCAUGUUCUGCCUUGUCAACAACAUCAAAGUGAAAGCAAUUAAAGAGUAAUUUUUCAGUCACAAGUUUGUUUUCAUCCUUGAAAAACAUAUCAGUCAAAACUUAAUGACCUCUUAGUAUCUUUUUUUAAUUUUCUGCUACUCAUGUUUGUUUUCUCAUGAUUUGUGAAAGAUAUAAAUAUAACAUACAAAGGUAUAGUUAUCUUUUCUACAUAAACAAAUAACUGAAUUAACUUCACAUGCUAGGCAGGCAUGUUCUAAAGCUGAUGCUGCUGGUUCCAGUACAUUAACAACAAAAUUGUCAGAAUUCAGAGAUUCAUGUUGGAGAUUUUUAAGGCCUCAUACUAUUCGUGGGACUGCAUUGGGUUCCAUGUAAGAACUUCAGAAUUUAUUGUAUAAAGAUAGUGAACGAAUUGUUCAAAUUUUGAUAUCAAUCUUGAGUUUAGUUCUCUAUAGUUCUAACUCUCUGCUGUUUCUCAUCUGUGCUUUGUUUUUCUGUUUCUUUUUUAUUAAUGACAGAGCUUUAGUUGCAAAAGCUUUGAUGGAGAAUCCAAAUCUUAUAAACUGGUGGUUGACAUUCAAGGCAUUUUAUGGACUUGCAGCUCUUAUUUGUGGCAAUGGUUAUAUAGUGGGCAUUAAUCAGAUUUAUGAUAUUGGAAUUGACAAGUAUGAUAAACUCUGCUUGCAACUUACCAAAUCUGUUAUAUGUAUGAUUUUGUUUACUUAAAGAUUUUACCUCUGUGCACAUGACAUAUCUCAUACUCCUAUUAAUCUGAUUGCAUGACCAUCUGUUUCCUUAUCCUUUUUCCUUCUCAUCUUUGGUAACUUGUGUUUCUGGAAUUUUGCAGGGUGAACAAGCCAUAUUUGCCUAUAGCUGCAGGAGACCUUUCAGUUCAGUCUGCAUGGAUUUUAGUAUUGUUAUUUGCAGCAGCUGGCCUUCUGAUUGUAGCAUGGAAUUUUGGGCCAUUCAUUACUUCCCUUUAUUGUCUAGGACUUUUUCUAGGCACUAUAUAUUCUGUUCCUCCAUUUAGAUUAAAGAGAUUUCCAGUUGUGGCAUUUCUUAUCAUUGCCACGGUAUGCUUGGCCUUCUUUUCUCUUGAUUUUUGCAAAAUUAGAGGCUUCUACUUGUUCCUUAUGCAUAUUUUGAUAUAAAACUGAUCAAACAGUUAAUCCUUAUGAUACUGAAGUAUCUACUAUCUAGUUCUGUGGCUGCAUGAAUGCAAUUUAUCUAAGAAUUGGUUAGCAGCUAGGCUGAUUUGUAAUUCAUGUAGACAGUGUAUAGGUUACCCACAACAUGGAACAAUUUGUGCACUAACCACAAUUUUCAUGGAUAAUAAAUGUCAAACAUUUAUUAUACCUAUAACCUAUAGGAGAAAUUUAUUUUUAUGCAAUUAAUACACCCAUAAAUCUUAUCUAAGAAUACUUCUAAAUCUUCUUAGAUAUAAUAGCUUCAUGACUUCCUCAAACCAUGGUUCGCUUUAUCGGCCCGUACUGAUGUACCGACUAAUUGUUGGUAUAGUACAUACUGAGCUGUACCAAACCAUACCGAAUGUAUCAAUACAUGAUACAUGGGGUUGUACCGAUGUACCGCCCAUACCGGUCUCCUAUCGGAUUGGUACGUAUAGCCCGUAUCGAGCAGUGCACCAUGGUACGACAAACCUUGCCCCAAACCAUAUAAUACUUUGAAUUAAGACUUGGUAUACUCAAGUUUUUAACUUAUGACAUUUCGAAACAUAAGGAAUAAUGAUGAUAAAUAUCAUCAUUAAUUAUUCCAAACUUAACCGUGAAAGACCCAACUGAAUCUCAUCCUACAUCAAUUAUGUUAAUGCUGGUCUCACUAACUUACAUGGUCUUCUUGAUCAAGUAGUAAUUUGCAUUAGUGCAUAUAGGGUUGACAAUAUAUUCACACUAAGUUUGCAAAAUGCUGAUCUUUUUUCUGGGUCACUCAUGUUGGGGAUUGCUCGACAACCAACUUUUGUCAAUAGGAAAAGACAGAUGAUGAUUGUUGUUUUCCUUUUGCUAGUGAAAAGUAUUUUUUUAAACAUUAUUGUUUCUGCAUAUUCAAAUACUGAUUUGUACUUAUUUACCAAUCUGAUAAGGACCAUGGUCCGAUACUAAUCAAUGUUUUAUUAUUGUCCUUUUGGAUAUAUUGAAUGGCAUGGGUUGGUAUGCCCCCUGAGGCCUGCUAUACUGGUAUUGCAUCUGAUCGAUAGAUUAUUAUUAAGUCUAAAACCGAUACCAAACAAAGACUUAAAUUCUUGUUUGUUUGUCUUAUCCUUCUUGGUGUUUUAUAUGGUUUAUAUCAUCUUUAUUCAAUUGGUUUUUUGCAGUAAUGCUUUUUCACUUUUUUUUUUGAGCUGCUAUUUUUAUUUGAAUUCCUUAUAUUCUCCUUGUACAUUCUCAGUUACUUGAUUAUACCAAAGCUUAUAAGCAAUAUGCUUAUAUUCCAAAUUACAUAUUAUGAUGGCUAGAGAUUGGCUUAUAUUUGUUGGAUAAGGUAUCUCUCAAUCACUAACUUUUUUCAACGGAAGCAAAUUGCGGAAAUUAAUUUCGGGUAAUGAGUCUAUGACAAAUGGUUCAAGCCUGGCUUAAGCUGGUCCAUAUACCAGACUGCUCUUGGGCUGUUAUUUACCACGUAUACUGUACUGGUCCAAGCAUUAACACAUUCAAUGGGAGCAAUAUUGUAUAUCAUUUUUGUAUAACUUUCCGUUCAAUAUGUGAAAUUAAUACAAAUUAGAUGUUGUUCUGUUUUAUGAAAUAGUAAUCAAGAUCACAUUCAUAAUUUCUCAAGCUGUAUUCACACAUACUCAGCCUUUUGGUGGAUAUCAGAUCAUAAUUAUUUGAAUUCUCAUUUCUUUUCUUUAUUUUUAUGGACAUAGUUUGUUCUACUGAUUAUCUUGUCUUUUUUUAUGACUACAAUUCCAUAGGUACGUGGCUUUCUUCUCAAUUUUGGUGUAUAUUAUGCUACUAGAGCUGCCUUGGGACUUUCUUUCAAAUGGAGGUAAAGAAUCUUUUGAUAUUAAUAAAUAAAAUUUGUUACUGGAAGCCAUAUGCAUACAAUAGUUUGUAACUGUAAACUAAAAUAUGUUUGUUUGAGCAAACAUGUAAAUGUUGUUUGUGCAUCUCAUUGCAGACACAUGCAGAGAUGAUGGUGAUGUUUAAUCCCAUAUAACAUCUUUCUAUCUGCAGUGCACCUGUCACUUUCAUCACAGCCUUCGUGACACUAUUCGCUUUGGUCAUUGCUAUAACAAAAGAUCUUCCAGAUGUUGAGGGAGACCGCAAGUGAGUAAUGAACUGCCCUCCAAAUUUGUAUGUAUGAUACAAAUGUCCUUCACAUUUUUCUCAAUCUUGGGUGCACUUGAUACACCUGACUGCAUAUUAAUUUGCCUUUCCAAGCACAAAAAAAACCAUGAAAUCUCCCCUGUACCAGGAAGCUAAACUAUUGCAUUGUCUUAUAUGUGAUUAAUGAAGAUAUUAGUAGAUUUAGACAUGUAUAAAAUAUCAGUCAAAAUGGGUUUGGUCCUCCAGGCAUUUCAUCUUUGUCUCUAGAAAGUCAAAGCAGAUCACUCUCCACAAUCAGGUUCUAACCCGUAUUUUAAGGCCUAGUCCAAUGCUUUCAAAGCAAAGGCUUCUGUCAUAAGCACAAUGUAUUCGAUAAAUGUCUUGCAUGAUGCACAUGUUAACCUGUAUGCAUCUAUUCUUCUUGCAUCACACCUGUGCAUAGUUAAUCAAUAUAUGCACAAAAGACUUGGAUCUUAUGGUACAUCCCAACCUAAAAGUCAAGUUUCUGUAAAUGAACCUCAGAUGGUAGAUGGCUACAUGAGAAGGAGAUUGAAUUUUGUUAAUGAAAACAUUUGUGUUGUCUCUGAGGUUUUUCUCAAGAAAUGUUCCUUGUCUUUUUCAUUUGCUCCCUGCUUAUGAUACUAUCUAGAAGUCUUUCUCAGGAAAUCAGGUUCGAUUUGAAAUCUUUUUUUCACUGUUAUUUUGUUAGCUUUACUUUUUCCUUCUUUUAUUUGUCUUCCUUUAUUUCCAUUUUGUUGUUAACACAAUUUAAUCAGAUUUAGAGACAGAACUAGUCUGCCCUGUCUGCCAUGGGCCUUAUUCUUUAGUCAUAGUAGGCAAAUUUUAUUAAUCCAUUCCCUCAUCUUCAAUUUACUGUUUCAAUCUAGGGUCUAAAUUUCCUAUUAUCUGGAUCUAGCAGAAUAGGCAUGCUCAUGUCCUUCCUCUUUAUGUCUGCACUGGUCAUCGUGCUUCGGGGAUAUUCUAGAUUGUCAUUUAGCAUAUUAUUGUAUGCAGAAAGUUUUAACCCAUAUAACUUAUAUCUUAUCCAGCUAACUGGCUUCUAUGUUGGCAAGGACUGCUUCUUGCUUAAAUCAACAUUAGUUUAACAUUGGGCACUGUAUGAUUAUCUUCCAUAAACCAUAAUGAUCUAGAGCUUUGCUCAGUAUGUUAAACUGUGUUGUCCUUGAAGUCAUAUAUGAUGCUGCUGUUUCCCCUUUAAACUUUUCUGACUCUACAGUUGUUCUUUGGAGAUGAGAUAAACAUUCACGCAAACAAAUUGUGAUUAUAAUUGUAAAUAUACUGACACUUGGAUCAUGUAUUGGUUCUACCAUUGAAACAUUAUUAGUUACCUUUAAGUAAUACUUGGUAUUUGACCCCAGUAUUCAUUUUUUUUGGCGAGAAAUAAGUAUAGCCUGUCAACCUGAGUACAAGCACUUGCACAGGGUAAUAAUACGUUGACUCAGAGUUUGGUCAUUACAUGGUUCACAUCCAAUUUAGAGUAUGGCAGUUGGUUAAUUAAUUUGAAGUGUCAAUCAAUUGGUCUUUAGUCAAUCUUGAGAGAUGCAUUGAUAUAAGAUUAUUUUACAGUAUGUCACAGCAUGAAUGUUGAGGGUAUUGCCCUUCCCAUGUAGAGUUAAAAAAUACUUGUACAUGUCAUACGUAUCAAGUAUUUCUUCCUUGGCUCACAUAUGCAAUUCUUCUUUAGAUUUCAGAUCUCAACCUUGGCAACAAAGCUUGGUGUCAGGAACAUUGCAUUCCUUGGUUCAGGUCUCCUAUUAGCAAAUUACCUUGGUGCUAUUCUUGUCGCAAUUUAUAUGCCUGAGGUGAACACAUUAUCCAAAAUCCUUUUUGCAAGUCUUGGUUCCUUCUUAAACUCAGUGCUUCAAUAUUUCUAAUGUUUGUCCACCUCUUUGUUAUAUGGUUUCGAAACUGGCUUAUGUCAUUGUAACUGUUGUUGGCAAAAAUGAAAGAUCUGUUUACUUUUCAUUCAGCUUUUGGUUGUAUUAACCGAGUGCUUCAGUGCAAGCAGCCAUGAUCUUUUUGCCUUUUUUUCUGAAUUAUUGUGCAUUUUCUUUCUCUUGAAAUCUGCCUUUUGUUUUACAGGCUUUUAGACGCAGCAUAAUGGUGCCAGCACAUGCUCUGUUAGCACUGGGAUUAAUUUUCCAGGUUAUAUCAUAUCUAAUUUCCCCGUGUUUAUAUUGCACCUUAAAAAACACUUCAAGUUCCUUGCCCCUCGUGAUUAACUGAUAACUCCAUUUAUGUUGAUAAUUCAUUUUGAAACUUGCCUUAAGAAGUUCUUGCUGAAACAUGGCAAACAACUUCUUGAUGAUUGGACUUUUUUUUUGUAACUUCUUAUAGAAUAAUAUAUUUUUUUGUUGAUGCUUCUUACUGUACUAUAUCAGAUUGGGCAUUUUGUGAAUCUUUAAGAGAUAGGCAUAGAGCUUGCCACACAUUACAUUUUUUGCUAUAAUUAUUUAAAGUUAAGUUGAAUUAAACCUAUAGAUGAUACUUAAAUGUUGUGAUAUAGGUCAAAUGAUCUAAGGUUCCAAAUACCAGACUUACCAUCUUGUAUGGUCUGGUACUUAAUUGUCUAAUAGAGGAUGAACAGGUGGGCUGGCCAAUUUCACCCAUUCUGGCUCAAAAUAGAGGUUUUUUAUUUUUUUAAUUUUAUUUUAUACAGUUGAAGACAGUUGUUGGCUGCCAACAUAUAGUAAAAGAAUAUAAUAUAAAGUAUAGCUGAGAAGGCUAUUGGAAAACACUAUUCAGAUAAGAUUGUUUGGACACCGCCACCACAGUCUCUCUCUCUCUUCUCCUGACUGUAACCACCUCCUCCAUCAUUGCUGCCUUGGCAUCCACCUUCUCCCAUUGCCACUGCUGCCUCCUCCUUGCAUCAUUGUUGCUGCUGCCUCCUCCAACAGUAUGCAAAGUCAUCUCUUCCACUUCCUUCCCCUCUUUCUCCUCCUAUGCUCACUCCUAUCUCUUCCACUUCCUCCCCCUCUUUCUCCUCCUAUGCUCACUUCUAUCUCUUAUCUCCACUCCUCUGCCUCCCCUUUUCUCGUUCUUUUUCUUUGGUGCAUGCCAUUUAGCACAGGGCACACCAUGUGUCAGCAUGCUUCACGUGCUGAUUGCCAGAUCAGUACAAGUAUCAGACCAAAAUUUGAAACCUUGGGUCUGGGCAUUCACAUGAAAUAUAUUCAAGCUGAAUGUAUACAGAAUGUCACAUAAAAAAUAUAGUUCUUUUUUAAGAAAGCAGCUUCUGUAAGUAGUUAACAGUAAAGUGAAAAAUUAGUUGGAGCAUACAUAAAAUUGGAACUUUACUGAGUGCAUGUUGGGUUGCUCCCUGAUUGCAACAUUUUGUAUCUACUCCACACGUAUGAUUCUUUGAGAAAAGGUUGGAUAAGAUGGACAUAAAUUAAAUUAAGGCACUGUUUUAGAAAUGAUUUGUUGCAUGGGCAUCCCAGUUUGGUGGCUAUUAAGUGAAGGUUCUCAUGUUGAUCAUAAGGAAAAACUUAAAUGGCCAGCUAGGAAAUAAGUCAACAUCAGGGGGGAGUUCUCAUGAGGCUAUGGAUAUAGGGGAAGAAAAUGAACCAUGUAAGUUUAGUUCUGUCACGCCUUAUGAGUUUUACUGGCAGUUAAGGAUUUUACAUGUUGGUUAUGCUAACCUUGUUGGUUGAUGCUUGAAGCUUUUAACACACUAGCACAGUACGGCAUUGGUCAUGCUAAUGUACAAUUUGCUAAUGUUGGCUGGCACUCCUUUGUUAGCACACACUGGAUUAGGACCUUACAAGCAUGAGGGUACAUCCUGGAACAAAAUGUUAUUUUGCUACUAUGUAUUCCUAUGGAGAUAAAUGCUUGAUUGCAAAUAAAUUGUAUAGUUACACAUUGUACGAGGGAUUUGCUAGGUCCAAUCUUGAGGCCUACUAUUUAUCUAGGAUUAAUCAAACUUGUCCAAAAUUAUUCAUGGCAACCAAAAUCUACCUCAGACUCAACCAGAAGCUAUUGGAACUCAAUCAAACCUCUGCCAUUGACAAAGUUCAUCUGAUGUCAGUCUAGUUCCACCGGUUUCAGUUAGUUACUGGGUUGCUCGGUUCCAGGAUUUUAGCCAGUUACCAGUCUGGUUGGUUUCAGUAAGUUCUAACUGGUUUAUUGCUAUUAUCGGUUCAUUUUGAGAUCUAAUAGCUGAUUUUGAUCCUGACUUGACGUAGCCAAUUUAUGCUGAUUUCUGGUUAUCAAGAUCGAUUUUAAUUGUCAUGGUUGAACUUAGCUCAUUUUUAGCUUUGGAGAACCCAAUUUUUUGAUUGCAGAAUUUGAUUUGGCUAGUUUGUCAAUCAUAAUUCCAUAAACCUUAGCACAUCUGACUUAAUAAUAUCCUGCCAAUUCAUAUACGUGUAUUUUAAGCUUAUAUUUCUUUGUGUAUACGAAACAAAAGAUAGUGUAAAAUAUUUGCUUUUUUUUUUCUUUGAAUUUGAAGAUGGAGUUGGCUCUCUAUCUUUUUUUUGUCUUUUCUUUGUCUCUUUAUUUUAGAGGAUAUCCCUUGUAUUCCUAAUAUUAAGCUCUCUUCCUUAUAUGAUUAGCUUUAUAAUCUUCUUAUGCAUUAAGUUGAGGGUACAUGUGAUUUUCAGGCAUGGAUUUUGGAACAAGCAAAAUACACCAAGGUAUGAAUUAUCACUAUAUACUGUCCAUUAGUUUCUUAGAUAAACUCUACUCACAGUUUUCUUUAUCAAAACCUCAAGAGAUUGGUGAUACUUUUUUCUGUAACAUUGGGAUAGGUUUUAAAUUGAGAUGUAGAAAAAGCAAAUAGAUGACUGGUGAAGAAUAUUGCUGAGAGCACAGCAUCCUUCUCAAGAAUAGUCUAACCUCUUAAAUUCUUGCCUUUAAAAUCCAAACAAUCUAAUGUGCAGAGCAAUUCAUACAAAUCCCUAUCUUGGUACAUUAUAUACAUUAAAUCAUUUACAGUCAUGAGAAGCUAGUUAAAGUUUACAAUCAUCGCUCUUAAAUCAUUGUUGAUUUGAGCAAAAUAAAUUUAGUCUUGGUGAAAACAAAUUUUAGUCCUCAAUUAGAUAGUGCUAUUACAAGAAAAACAAUUGAAACUAGGUGAGACAUGGCUGUGCCUGUGCCAAAACCAAUUUCUUACUUAGACCUGAUUAAUCUCAUAUCACCGGGAUGUUUCCUUGUGAUGCUUUUAAAUAAUUUUCAGUCAUCACUUGUUGAUUGGGUGAUAACAAGUGACUCAACCAGUUUAAGCUAUAAAAAGAAUUUGUUUGUCAUUAUUUAAUGAUAUUUAUUUUAUCCUUCUUUUUCCUUGCAGGAGGCAAUAUCACAGUUCUAUCGGUUUAUCUGGAAUCUUUUCUACACCGAAUAUAUCAUUUUUCCCCUUAUAUAGCAAAACUUAGAAUUUUCUAUUGCUUGUAUCUCUGAAUCCUUUUCGCUUAUCCUUCUAUUUCUUGAUCAAGAGAAAAUUUGUAGGGAUAAGUGUCGUAGAAGAGAUUGCCCUCUUGAGAUGCAUGCAUAGAGGAGUACACACAGUGGGGAGUGCCAGUUUUGUUCCUGAAACUGACUGAUCCAAGGGCAUGUAUUUUGCAUGUUUUAUGCAGUUAUUUUAUUAGGUUAAUUACUCAGUAUUUUAUGUGUGAAAAUUGAGGAUAAACAGCUAUGUAGUUUUCUCAUUGACCAAUGAUAAUUUAUUUUGAAUGAAUUAUUCUUCCACGGACGUCAACUACUUUUUGCAGUGUGAUACUGCUUUGUGCUGUGGGUGUUGUUUGUUGAUGAACAUUUCAGUAGAUGGGAACCUUAUUACAAUAUUAUUUUGUAAAAUUGCAUAUAUAUAAUUCAUAUUUAUCACAAAGUUAUGUUUUGUGUGUGUGUGUGUGUGUAUAUAUAUAUAUAUAUAUAUAUAUAUAUAUAUAUAUAUAUAUAAUAGUAACUUUUGCCCUAUAUUUAUUCCAAACUCGAUUUAUAGAUAUUUUAAUCUAAAUUAAAUCAGCAAAAUAAACAUGGAAAUAGCAAAAGAAAAAAAGAACACUGAAUAAAUGACAUUUCUAAAUAUCGAGGGGAGUCGCUCUCGUCAACGCUCCAUCUCACGCUCUAUCCAUCUAAAUCUGGCAUCUCAGCCGUCCAUCCAUCCGAAAGGCUUGAUAACAUUCAUCACGGUGAUGGGCACGAAACAACGGUGAGCAGAGACGAUCAUGUCUUCCACUUCGACUGGCAGCCUUCCGCCCGGCGCUGGCGGAGGCGGAGGAGGGAUCGGCGGCGGCGGUGGCGGCGGCGUAGGGGGUGUGGGAGUACGGGGCUGGCUGUCGGCCACGUCGGUGUCGUCGUCUGGGAAGAGGAUCAAGAAGGAGAUGCUGGAGCUCAAUGCCGAUCCGCCUGCCGACUGCUCCGCCGGCCCCAAGGGCGACAACCUCUACCACUGGGUCUCCACCAUAAUCGGCCCCCAAGGUCUAGCUAAACUCUUCCUCUCUUUAUCAUGUUCAUCACCACCAUAAACCCUUACGCUCUCAUCAUGUUGUUCUAAUUGCUUCUUAGAGAGGCAGAUACUUUGUGUUCUCUGAAUUUACGGUUAGCAAUGGUUUCUUGAUUUAAGCUGACCUAAAAAUUGCUGCAAGAAGGGGGCUGUUGUUUGCACUUGCAGCCCCUCUGGUUUCAUUCAUGAUUAAUGAGAACAUUCUCAUAAGCAGGCGCUUAAUAAGACUUUUUCUUAAGGUAAUGGUUUCUCGGGGCAUAUGCCCCUUGCUGCUUGAGAUUUGGGGUGAUUAAUUCCUGCCCCUUGUUGUUUUGGACCUUGGAAAGUGAACAUUCUUGUAACAUGUACACUUGAUAUAUUAAGGGAUAUGCUUGUCAUGAACAACGUUUCAUGUGUUUCUCCACCAAACAGAAAGAGGGAGAGAAAAGGGGAGGACGAGAAAAGGUGGAGAAGAGGAGGAAGACUAUUUUGUCCUUUCUCAUAUUAGUACCUAAGCAUCUUUCCUAGAUUCUGGUAAGAACAUGGUCUUACCAAAACUAGUCAGGGGCUACCCCAACAGUCGAAUAGCCUUUGUGCACCUAUAAAUAUAUUUAUUGGAGUUCCAAGGUAUAAUCUUUCCCAUUUGUUGCUUCAACUCAGUCUGGCGACCUCACUCAUUUAAGCAUCCACAUGUACGACAUUGGACUCCCAUGCCCUUUUCUUCUUGCGAUUUUCAUCAUGUAGGCUCUUUUCCAUAAUGAUCUCACUUCCUACUGUCUAGCAACUUGAUCAGCAACUUCAAGAUGGUCUAGAUAUUAUGUGAUCAUUUGACUCGUUAGUCACACUCUAUCCUCCAGUUUUAGUAUAGCGACUUUUAGUUUGGAACUAUCAAGAUUUUUAGUUUGGCCAUGAACAGAACUGAUCUAAACAUGAACUUUAACCCAUUAUACCUAAUAUGCUCUAACCGUUUUUCUACUUACAUAUGCUUAAGGGGCUUUUAGUAAGGUUUUUAAGUUUUUCUAAUUGCUGCCGUGAAUCAAAUAUGCCAUAGCUAGGAUGCAUGUCAUAUCUAUCCUGCAAUAUUGGGAACAAUUCUACAGCUCACUGUAAACGUAGUUUCUAAGAGUUCUGGUUGGUAUGGUGAUUCCAUGGGGAUUUCCUUUGAUAUAUGAGAAUCUCAGUCAAACACUCUUCUCUCCCAUUUCAAUUGGGUAGCUAAAAAAUUCCAAACAGUUGAAAGGACUGGUAAAUUUCAGAUAGACAUAAAAUAUACAUGAAAUCUCCUACGAAACAUAAAAUGUAGACUGAAAUUUAAAAAAUCUCAACUUGGGAUUUCAAAAAUGUAGGCAUGCAAAAUGGAAUAAUCUUGUUGGAACUUGGAUUCCCAUUAUGGUAAUAGUCCUAGGAUUUCUAAUCCCUGUGCUAAAAGAUAUCAUGUGUUGAUUCUUUUCAUCAUUAAUGAGCUGUAUUAUAUUUUCUCUUCAAAGAUUACAUAUAUAUUUUCACCACGAAGUUUAAUCCUCGAUGCCUACCACAUAUGUUUUUUUAUCUAUCAAUAUUUAGAAUAGAUUUUCAUACGAAUGAUAAGUACCUAAAGGAUCCAUUUGCCUGGAACCCUUGGUAGUUACCAACUUUUGUUAUUAUUUCAGGAACCCCAUAUGAAGAUGGCAUAUUUUUUCUUGACAUUGUCUUUCCAUGUGACUAUCCAUUCAAACCCCCAAAGGUAUGUGAAAUUGGACUAAAUAAAAAGACAUCAAAUUGUUGUGCUUUUGUUAGUUUAUGCUUAAUAUUAUUAUACUAGACUUUCUAGCUACAACAUUGUAUUAUUUCAUUCAAUCAUAUUGCAUCAUCAUUUAGAUUCCUCAUUUCCUUUUACUUUUUAUAUACGUUGUUUCUUAACUGUCCAACAUUAUAUUAAUGUACUCACCUGUUAGAGAUAGUUUUAUAUUGGCAAGGUCAAUUUACCUGCCCUAUGAUAUGCUAGACGUUGUCUUUCCCAAUAUCUUCCUCAGUUUUCCUGCUAUUGGAAAGCAAAUCGAAAGCUUUGGAGAAAUGAGUAAAUUGAAUAGGCCAAAGAUGAUGUACAUCUAAGCGCAACAUCUUUAAGUAGGUUUUUUUAAAAAUAGCUUUAUUUGCCAGUAUCACGAUGAGAAUACCAUGCCUCUUCAUUCUUGCAACCUAUUGUAGAUAGUGUAUCCAAGUAUCACAACUUGGGCACAAGUAUUUCUUUAUUAUACUUUUUUUUCUCAUUUUUUGUUUGUUUGAAGCAUAAGCUUAAAAGGGUGCUAUGUCGUUAUUUGCAGAGAUCCAUUCAAAUCUAACAUAAAUUAGUGAGCACCCUUAUACAGUCAGCUUCAUAUGCCUAGGUCCAUUGGUCCAUGCAUCUUCCCCUUGUCAUGUUUUGUGCUUGACAUUUUCUUGUACCUCAUUAGUAAGACCAACCUAAGGAGGUUAUCUAGACCACGAUAGAGAAAAAUAAUUGAGAAGAUAUUAUGAAUAUUUCUACAACAAAUGUAUGCUAGGAUUCCAUUGGUAUAUUGAAUAGGUGAAUCUGUGGAGAGAUGAUUAAUACUCAUAAAAUAAAUCGCACUUUCUACCUCUAUUUAUUUGUUAAUUAAGUAGAAAAUAAAUUAAAAUCAGACAUUGUUUGACAACUACGUUGCUUAGAUGAUUGACACCCCGGUUUAGUCCUACAUUGCAAAUAAAAGGAUAAAUCUAAUUGUACAUAGGGAUAGGGGUAGAUGAGUCUACUACUAUUAGCUUGGGUUUAAAUAAUUUGGAUUAUGUGGCUUUAAGCUCACUAAGUUAAUACAUUUGUCUGUUCAUCAGAACUUGGUGAUAGGCAUGAUGAGAAAUCCAACUAAGAAAGAGCUACUCGUGGACGAGGCUUAAGGCACAUCCCAACAUGCAGCCAC
rnacentral:lncRNA from 1 species